UGAAGGUGGCUCCAGAUCGUUGAAUGUUGAAUCCAACGGUCUGUAGCUACCUUCACC
rnacentral:pre_miRNA from 1 species